UAUUUGAUGAUUAUCUUACAUGGAUAACCGUGGGAAACUACAGCUAAUACAUGCCUAAAUACUUGACCAAAAUCAAGUUGUAUUUAUUAGUUAUAAACCAAAUAUUUGUGAUGAUUCAUAAUAACUGAUCGAAGCGCUUUCUAGUGCUAAAUCAUUCAAGUUUCUGCCCUAUCAGCUUGAUGGUAGUGUAUUGGACUACCAUGGCUAUAACGGGUAACGGAGAAUUGGGGUUCGAUUCCGGAGAGGGAGCCUGAGAAACGGCUACCACGUCUACGGAAGGCAGCAGGCGCGUAAAUUACCCAAUCCUAAAUCAGGGAGGUAGUUAAUAGAAAUACAAAUCCGGUUAGCUUUGCUAAUACGGAAGUGAAUGAAUUGAAUUUAAAUCAAUCUUUGAAACCUAUUGGAGGGCAAGUCUGGUGCCAGCAGCCGCGGUAAUUCCAGCUCCAAUAGUGUAUUUUAAUGUUGUUGCAGUUAAAAAGCUCGUAGUUGAAUUUCUGAUCUUUGGAAACUUUUAGUGAAAGAAGGUCAUCCGUCUGGGAACUAAAUAAGAGAUUUAACCCUCUGUUUAGCAAACAGGCAUUUUACCAUGAAUAAAUUAGAGUGUUUCAAGCAAGCGUUCGCUUGAAUAUUUCAGCAUGGAAUAAUAGAACAGGACAGAAUUCUUUUUAUUGGUUAUUGAAUUUUGUAAUGAUUAAAAGAAACAGUUGGGGGUAUUUGUACUUGAUAGUCAGAGGUAAAAUUCUUAGAUUUAUCAAAGACAAACUAGUGCGAAAGCAUUUGCCAAGGAUGUUUUCAUUAAUCAAGAACGAAAGUGAGGGGAUCAAAGACGAUCAGAUACCGUCGUAGUCCUAACCAUAAACUAUACCGACUUAGGAUUGGUGGGAAUACCCCAUCAGCACUAAAUGAGAAAUCAAAGUCUUUGGGUUCUUGGGGGAGUAUGGUCGCAAGGCUGAAACUUAAAGGAAUUGACGGAAGGGCACACCAGAAGUGGAGCCUGCGGCUUAAUUUGACUCAACACGGGAAAACUUACCAGGGCAAAAGAGCAGUAUGAUUGACAGUAUGAUAGAACUUUCUUAAUUGGUUGGCAAGUGGUGCAUGGCCGUUCUUAGUUGGUGGAGUGAUUUGUCAGGUUAAUUCCUUUAACGAACGAGACCUUAACCUGCUAAUUAGAAAAGUUUAAAUUUCUAGACUUUUUCUUCUUAGAGGGACUACUUAUGUAAAUAAGUGGAAGUUUGAGGCAAUAACAGGUCCGUGAUGCCCUUAGAUGUCCUGGGCCGCACGCGCGCUACAAUGAUGCACGCAACGAGAAUCACCUAAUCUGAAAAGAUCUAGGAAAACUUUAUAGUAUGCAUCGUGUUAGGGAUAGAUCUUUGUAAUUUUAGAUCUUGAACGAGGAAUUUCUUGUAAGCAUGUGUCAUUAACGCAUGCUGAAUAAGUCCCUGCCCUUUGUACACACCGCCCGUCACUCAUACCGAUUGAAUGUUUAGGCGAAUUUUCUGGAUUACUGGCGCAAGCCAAGUAAAAUAUUGAGUAAGCCAUGCAUUUAGAGGAAUGGUAAGGCGUAACAAGGUUAUCGUAGGUGAACCUGCA
rnacentral:rRNA from 1 species